rnacentral:rRNA from 1 species
AUACGGAGGGUGCAAGCGUUGUUCGGAAUCACUGGGCGUAAAGGGCGCGCAGGCGGUUUGGUAAGUCAGAUGUGAAAGCCCACGGCUCAACCGUGGAAGUGCAUUUGAAACUGCCAGACUUGAGUACCAGAGGGGAAAGUGGAAUUCCCGGUGUAGAGGUGAAAUUCGUAGAUAUCGGGAGGAAUACCGGUGGCGAAGGCGACUUUCUGGCUGGAUCCUGACGCUGAGGCGCGAAAGCGUGGGGAGCAAACAGGAUUAGAAACCCUAGUAGUCC